AUGGAUGGAGUCUCUACAUCUGAUCCAAGCCAAGAAGAAGCACGGAAAUCAGAUUCUAGUUGCCCUCACACUAUCACCGGGAACACCGGUUCAUUCGUGAAGCACCUUCGAAAGUGGGAAGGAUCUAGAAAAGUUGUGGACAAAAGUGGUAAUUUAAAAACUGAAGAGAAUUCUAGAAAAAUCAGAGCAAAAUGGAUAAUUGAGGAGGGGUUUUAA